rnacentral:rRNA from 1 species
UUGAACGCUGGCGGCAUGCUUUACACAUGCAAGUCGAACGGUAACAGGUUAAGCUGACGAGUGGCGAACGGGUGAGUAAUGCAUCGGAACGUGCCCGAUCGUGGGGGAUAGCGCAGCGAAAGCUGCGCCAAUACCGCAUACGAUCUGAGGAUGAAAGCGGGGGACCGUAAGGCCUCGCGCGAUCGGAGCGGCCGAUGUCAGAUUAGGUAGUUGGUGGGGUAAAAGCUCACCAAGGCGACGAUCUGUAGCGGGUCUGAGAGGAUGAUCCGCCACACUGGAACUGAGACACGGUCCAGACUCCUACGGGAGGCAGCAGUGGGGAAUUUUGGACAAUGGGGGCAACCCUGAUCCAGCCAUGCCGCGUGAGUGAAGAAGGCCUUCGGGUUGUAAAGCUCUUUCGGCCGGGAAGAAAUCGUAUCAGCUAAUACCUGGUGCGGAUGACGGUACCGGCAUAAGAAGCACCGGCUAACUACGU